UGUGUCCCAUCUUUACAGAUUGGCUGCAAUGCCGUCAGCUGGGCCCCUGCUGUUGUACCUGGAAGCCUCAUAGACCAGCCAUCGGGGCAGAAACCCAAUUACAUCAAGAGGUUUGCAUCAGGUGGUUGUGACAACCUCAUCAAGCUGUGGAAGUAAGUAGGGAUGUGUGGCCUUCUCUUUGAGGGGACACUUCUACCCUUUACCCUACUCACCAUGACUCAGCCACACUCACAAGAAACAAGGUCACCUUUCUUCCUCCUGCCAGUAAAAUACUGUUUUCAAUCUGUCGGAGGACAUCCUUGAAAAACAACACAACACCUGUUCACCUAAUUCCCAGCUGUUGAAGCUGACUCUCUGGUUGUGGAAGCAGCAUUUUCUGGAGGGUUUUUUUAACAGCUGGGGUGAAGGGAAUAAAAUGCCACAAACUGCAUGAAUGAAAGAAGAAAGAUGGAAUCGCUUCUCCACCCCAGGCAGAGCCUGUUAGGUUGGGGAGGAGUUGAGGUGUGGGAAAGGCCCCCUGCUGAUUCUCUUUCUGUCCCCACUGUUAGGGAGGAGGAGGACGGCCAGUGGAAGGAGGAGCAGAAGCUAGAAGCGCACAGUGACUGGGUUCGAGAUGUGGCCUGGGCCCCCUCCAUCGGCCUGCCUACCAGCACCAUCGCCAGCUGCUCCCAGGACGGUCGUGUGUUCAUUUGGACUUGUGAUGAUGUCUCAAGCAAUACGUGGUCCCCUAAAUU
rnacentral:sRNA from 1 species